rnacentral:rRNA from 1 species
GUCGAGGGGCAUCAGUUUGGUUUGCUUGCAACCAAAGCUGGCGACCGGCGCACGGGUGAGUAACACGUAUCCAACCUGCCUCAUACUCGGGGAUAGCCUUUCGAAAGAAAGAUUAAUAUCCGAUAGCAUAUAUUUCCCGCAUGGGUUUUAUAUUAAAGAAAUUCGGUAUGAGAUGGGGAUGCGUUCCAUUAGUUUGUUGGCGGGGUAACGGCCCACCAAGACUACGAUGGAUAGGGGUUCUGAGAGGAAGGUCCCCCACAUUGGAACUGAGACACGGUCCAAACUCCUACGGGAGGCAGCAGUGAGGAAUAUUGGUCAAUGGACGCGAGUCUGAACCAGCCAAGUAGCGUGAAGGAUGACUGCCCUAUGGGUUGUAAACUUCUUUUAUAUGGGAAUAAAGUGGUCCACGUGUGGAUUUUUGUAUGUACCAUAUGAAUAAGGAUCGGCUAACUCCGUGCCAGCAGCCGCGGUAAUACGGAGGAUCCGAGCGUUAUCCGGAUUUAUUGGGUUUAAAGGGAGCGUAGGCGGAUUGUUAAGUCAGUUGUGAAAGUUUGCGGCUCAACCGUAAAAUUGCAGUUGAUACUGGCAGUCUUGAGUGCAGUAGAGGUGGGCGGAAUUCGUGGUGUAGCGGUGAAAUGCUUAGAUAUCACGAAGAACUCCGAUUGCGAAGGCAGCUCACUGGAGUGUAACUGACGCUGAUGCUCGAAAGUGUGGGUAUCAAACAGGAUUAGAUACCCUGGUAGUCCACACAGUAAACGAUGAAUACUCGCUGUUUGCGAUAUACAGUAAGCGGC